CCUACGGGCGGCAGCAGUCGAGAAUCAUUCACAAUGGGGGAAACCCUGAUGGUGCGACGCCGCGUGGGGGAAUGAAGGUCUUCGGAUUGUAAACCCCUGUCAUGUGGGAGCAAAUUAAAAAGAUCGUACCACACGAGGAAGAGACGGCUAACUCUGUGCCAGCAGCCGCGGUAAUACAGAGGUCUCAAGCGUUGUUCGGAAUCACUGGGCGUAAAGCGUGCGUAGGCUGUUUCGUAAGUCGUGUGUGAAAGGCGCGGGCUCAACCCGCGGACGGCACAUGAUACUGCGAGACUAGAGUAAUGGAGGGGGAACCGGAAUUCUCGGUGUAGCAGUGAAAUGCGUAGAUAUCGAGAGGAACACUCGUGGCGAAGGCGGGUUCCUGGACAUUAACUGACGCUGAGGCACGAAGGCCAGGGGAGCGAAAGGGAUUAGAUACCCUAGUAGUC
rnacentral:rRNA from 1 species